AAAUUGAAGAGUUUGAUCAUGGCUCAGAUUGAACGCUGGCGGCAGGCCUAACACAUGCAAGUCGAGCGGAAACGACAACAUUGAAUCUUCGGAGGAUUUGUUGGGCGUCGAGCGGCGGACGGGUGAGUAAUGCCUAGGAAAUUGCCUUGAUGUGGGGGAUAACCAUUGGAAACGAUGGCUAAUACCGCAUAAUGCCUACGGGCCAAAGAGGGGGAUCUUCGGACCUCUCGCGUCAAGAUAUGCCUAGGUGGGAUUAGCUAGUUGGUGAGGUAAUGGCUCACCAAGGCGACGAUCCCUAGCUGGUCUGAGAGGAUGAUCAGCCACACUGGAACUGAGACACGG
rnacentral:rRNA from 1 species